rnacentral:rRNA from 1 species
GAUGAACGCUAGCUACAGGCUUAACACAUGCAAGUCGAGGGGCAGCAUGUCGGUUGCUUGCAACCGAUGAUGGCGACCGGCGCACGGGUGAGUAACGCGUAUCCAACCUGCCUCUUACCAGGGAAUAACCCGUCGAAAGGCGGACUAAUGCCCUAUGCCCUCCGCCGCCGACAUUUAAUGUGGAGGAAAGAUUCAUCGGUAAGUGAUGGGGAUGAGUCUAAUUAGCUUGUUGGCGGGGUAACGGCCAACCAAGGCAACGAUCAGUAGGGGUUCUGAGAGGAAGGUCCCCCACAUUGGAACUGAGACACGGUCCAAACUCCUACGGGAGGCAGCAGUGAGGAAUAUUGGUCAAUGGGCGGAAGCCUGAACCAGCCAAGUAGCAUGCAGGACGACUGCCCUAUGGGUUGUAAACUGCUUUUAUGCGGGGAUAAAUGACACUACGUGUAGUGUUUUGCAGGUACCGCAUGAAUAAGGACCGGCUAAUUCCGUGCCAGCAGCCGCCGUAAAAC